UCUUGGAGUAGGUCAUUGGGUGGAUCCGUUAUUUCCCUCUGUGGGCCACUGGAUGGCCCCUCCAUGUCU
rnacentral:pre_miRNA from 1 species